CCCUGGUCGUGGCUGAGGGCUUCGACCCCAGCUCAGCCCCGACUCCGACAGCGCCGUCACCGCCACGCUGCCGUUCGAGAGGGAUUGCGGAGCCGACAACGUCUGCGAGGGACGAGCUCAGAGCAGCCUUCAACUUCUCAGGGCUGCAGACGCUGCUGGUGGGGGUGGGGCACCCUGGAGCUGACGGUGACCUUUGGGAACCUCG